CAGUACGUGGGGAACCCCGAUGGAGAGGGCGAGGCCACCAAAGGGUACCUGGACGACCCCACGGUGCCCCGCGGGUCCACCACCGCCACUUUUGCAGCCGUCGUCCUCUAUGUGGAGAAUGAGAGGUGGGAUGGUAGGUGAUGCCUUCAAGGCCCAGCAAGGCAGAACUGGGCAUGCCCUGUGUGCGGGCACUGGAGCGCCCACUGAGACACUCACGCACUGGUCCACACCCCGAGAGAGCUGGUGCCGAGGCUGCCCUUUCCCCACAUAGGGGUGCCCUUCAUCCUGCGCUGUGGCAAGGCCCUGAACGAGCGCAAGGCCGAAGUGAGGCUACAGUUCCAUGAUGUGGCCGGCGACAUCUUCCACCAGCAGUGCAAGCGCAACGAGCUGGUGAUCCGCGUGCAGCCCAACGAGGCCGUGUACACCAAGAUGAUGACCAAGAAGCCGGGCAUGUUCUUCAACCCCGAGGAGUCGGAGCUGGACCUGACCUACGGCAACAGAUACAAGAACGUGAAGCUCCCUGACGCCUACGAGCGCCUCAUCCUGGACGUCUUCUGCGGGAGCCAGAUGCACUUCGUGCGCAGCGACGAGCUCCGUGAGGCCUGGCGUAUUUUCACCCCACUGCUGCACCAGAUUGAGCUGGAGAAGCCCAAGCCCAUCCCCUAUAUUUAUGGCAGGUGAGGAAAGGGUGGGGGCUGGGGGCAGAGCCCAGCGGGCAGGGGCGGGGUGAGGGCGGAGCUACCUCAUGCCUCUCCUCCACCUGUCACUCUCCAGCCGAGGCC
rnacentral:sRNA from 1 species